ensembl:snoRNA SNORD24 Small nucleolar RNA SNORD24
UGCAGAUGAUGUGAAGAAUAUUUGCUAUCUGAACAGCGUUGCUGACAACCCACCAAGAUCACUGAUGCA